UCAAAGAAUUAAGGAAUCUAGUUUAUAAGAGCCUGAGUCAACGGGACUUAAAAUAAAACGGGUUUUUACUCCCGGAACCCACUAAGUUAACUAGGUAAAAAUUAACCUAGUUAGUAAUGGGUAAUUAGAUAAUAAACUAUGAGUUAUAGUUUCAUUUAUGAAUCCCUAAACUUGAGGGACUAAACAUGGGCAAGUGUAAUGAAGUUUAAUAAAAAAACACAAACCACACAUACGUAUGUGGUGUCUGCGAUUUCAUCAGAGCCACAAGGAGCUCUCAAAACUCAACCCUAAACUUCAAGAAAAUUCACCAAAUUGAAGGGUGAAUCAGAGCCAAAUCGUAUGCAUGAACACAUAAAAACAAUCACCAAGCUUAUGGGAUCAUAAGUUUGACGCUUAACGAGCUAGGUGGAGGCUUGAGAAAGAAGCGGCUAAACGAAUCAAGCGCGUGAAGAAAGGCGUAAACCGGAUGGGAGGUAAGUGUAAUUUUCGCACUUAUGUAGAUUACUCGUUUAUUCUAUACGAAAUAAUCGCGAUAACAAUAAUAUUAAAAUAUGGAUUUUGUUAAGAUUACUUUGUGGUGUAAUCUAAUGAUGAGGAAAAAUGGUGAAAAUGGAAAUUGGUCAAGAGUCGACUAAUGUAAUUAAGGUUAAAAGCGUGCCCAUGGCGUAAGCCGAAAUGGGUUGAAUUAGUAAGAAAAGAAUUUAAGAGAUAAAGGAUUUGGUAAUAUAAUCCGGGAUGGGAUGGAUGUAUGAAUUGGACAUCAAAAACCAUGUUUUUGAUUUAAAUAGAUAACGUUGGGUAUAUAGUCCAAAUGGGUCAAAUGGUGGUGAUAACACCAUUUGACAAUACCGACUAAUGCGGUGGUCAAGUCUUAUGUUAACAGGAUCAAUUGGCGAAUUGGAUAAAUGUGUCGCCAUAGAUUGAGUGACAAUUAAAGCAAGGUACAAAACCGGGUCUAUUUGUUGUCCCGAGCCAGGUACGUAUAAAUAUGAUUAUAGCUAACGUACAAAUUUGGGCAAAUAAGUAGUGAAGGUCCUUCAUCAUAAAUGAAAGGUAAAAUGGACCAUUACGCCCUUGUAAGCUAAAUUGAAUAAAUGGCCUUUAACGGUAGUUUGGAAAUGAGUUUUAUGCUUAAUUAAAUGCUUACAAUAGGUACAAGAAGGAGAAAGAUGUAGGACUUUGGUUAAACGACUCUAUAUGGGUCUUACCGUAGAAUAACAAUCCGAGGAAAUAAAACUCGGAUUACAUAGAACAUUACAUUAAAUUCACCACACAUAUAGUUGUGGUGGAAGAUUAUUUGAUAAAUAUUGUGGAAAUAAGAUGCUAGAAAUAGACGAGUAUGAUGUAUGCGGAAAAGUGCUUAAAUACCCUUAACGGGUCAAAAUAAUCAUUUAAGUAUAAACGAGUUUAAGAUUAUACAUAAACUUGUGAGUUGAACCUAAUAUGUUAGACAACAUUGAAAUUAUAAGGUUCAUGUGAAAUCGGGAUCAAACAAUCAUGUUUGUUUGAUAAAAUGCAUAAACGGGUUAAAAUUCGGUAAAAAGGUGAUGAGUCGGAGGCUUAAAAGUCUAAAAAUUUAUUUUGUUGGAUGUUGGAUUUCAACUCCAUAAGAUGGAGGAUUAAAUUACGGACGCGUAGGAAAAAGAAUCGGGUAAAACGGAUCAAUAACGAAGAAGUUAUGGCCGUUUCCGUGAAAACGCUUUGAGCUGGGAAUGUACAGCAACAGCUGAAACAAAGGUCUGUGAAAAAUGGGGCCUAGCGAGACGCGACGCCCCUUGGCGUCACGCGACGCCCCCUAACUCCGAAAGUUGUUGAAUUUUGUCAUUUUUAACCCAUGUACUUGUUUGAACUUAAUAUUUGAUUAUCGAAACUAACUUUUAAGUUGGUUUUGAUCAUAGGUGAAUGCCAAGAGUGCACGGAUGAAGAUCAAGCUCGAUGAGGAACUGAACACGAUAAAAUACAAGCUUCCGCGCGGCGUUUUGUCGUAUCUUUAAAACGACGAAUCCAAUUACAUUAAGUUGUUCAAACUUUUAAAAUUGUAAAAGUUUUAGUAAACUCGUAUUUUCUAAGGAUACUUAAUAAUAAUUACACGUUUAUUUUCGUUA